UACGUAGGGACCAAGCGUUGUUCGGAUUUACUGGGCGUAAAGGGCGCGUAGGCGGCUUGUCAAGUCACUUGUGAAAUCUCUGGGCUUAACCCAGAACGGCCAAGUGAAACUGACAUGCUAGAGUGCAGAAGGGGCAAUCGGAAUUCUUGGUGUAGCGGUGAAAUGCGUAGAUAUCAAGAGGAACACCUGAGGUGAAGACGGGUUGCUGGGCUGACACUGACGCUGAGGCGCGAAAGCCAGGGGAGCAAAAGGG
rnacentral:rRNA from 1 species